GAUGAACGCUGGCGGCGUGCUUAACACAUGCAAGUCGAACGAUGAAGCCCAGCUUGCUGGGUGGAUUAGUGGCGAACGGGUGAGUAACACGUGAGUAACCUGCCCUUAACUCUGGGAUAAGCCUGGGAAACUGGGUCUAAUACCGGAUAGGAGCGCCUACCGCAUGGUGGGUGUUGGAAAGAUUUAUCGGUUUUGGAUGGACUCGCGGCCUAUCAGCUUGUUGGUGAGGUAAUGGCUCACCAAGGCGACGACGGGUAGCCGGCCUGAGAGGGUGACCGGCCACACUGGGACGGAGACACGGCCCAGACUCCUACGGGAGGCAGCAGUGGGGAAUAUUGCACAAUGGGCGAAAGCCUGAUGCAGCGACGCCGCGUGAGGGAUGACGGCCUUCGGGUUGUAAACCUCUUUCAGUAGGGAAGAAGCGAAAGUGACGGUACCUGCAGAAGAAGCACCGGCUAACUACGUG
rnacentral:rRNA from 1 species